GGUGGUAUAGCUCAGCUGGUAGAGCGCAUGCUGAGCAUGCAGGAGGUACUUGGCUCCAUUCCCAGUACCGUCA
rnacentral:tRNA from 1 species